GUGUUUUUUGUUAGGUUCUGGGGUUUCUUUUUGUUUUUGUGGGUUUUCCGGAUCGGGUCCACCAGAUGGUGCCACAAGGCUGCUGACUGGAAGAAGCACGCCCAUGGUUACGCACCAGUAUUCAAUCAUCUCAUCAACACCUGGAGCUUAAAGGAAGCGGACUGCCAGCACUUCAGCGCCUGAGUGUUUGCCUUCUAUGGUGUUCCAUCCUGUGAAGCCAUGGAUUCCCCUCAAGCAGAUCUAGUCCUCGCUGUUGGAUUCUGUUCCCCUCGUGACGCUGUGGAACGUACCCACUGGUUGCCCGAGUUCCAUCUCCACAUCUCCCUCGAUCUUCAUCAUUCCCCGCCAUCCCUUCCACACCAGUUCCUUCGCUACACCUGUACUUACCUGUCCGCCCUCCGCCGCAGUCGAUGUACCUCCAUCGGAUCCUGCUCAGUUGAGACCCUCCAUCUGGAACCCAGACCUCCCGCUAGAGAACCUGGACCCUCGAACCUGGAAUCAACCCCUCCCAGACCAAGAUCAUCUCACCACAAGUAAGAUCAGUCCAAUUGUCUCAGAGCUCCCGUUUACCAUUACCCUGAACUCACCAAGUCUAAUCUAUUCUGUAGGGAGCCGACGACUUCGUGAACCCUCCCCUGGAGCCACCCCCCAUCCAGCACAUCUUUAUAUUUCAAUAAACCACCUUUUACUGAUACCUGUUCUCCUGUUGUGUUCUGCAUGUGGGCAAGAAAAACUGAACCCAUCAUGACAUUUUUGUCAAAUUUGCAGGAUUCACUUGGAUUCAGACGAGAUUAUAUUGCAUUUAUCAUUGAAUUCCUCCAACCCAUAAAAUCCAAAUGUACUUGCUGUUAUUUAUUGAUAAUAGCAAAUAAACAUCAAUAAUGCCUUGUCACUGUAGCAUUUUUUGGUAUGCAGAUUAAACAUCUAAAUAAUAGCUUUCACGCAACAAAAAACAGAAGUCUCUUGAAAACAAAAUUCAGAAAAAUAACAUCCACCUUAGAGAAGCUUUAAAAGGUAACAGGUGAAGAUUGGACAUAUGAAUACUAAUAGUAUUUCAGCAAUGCAAUUUAUUUUAAUCAUUACCAUUGAAGUUUGAACUAUUUGCAACUUAACAAAAUUAAAACAAUCCACGAUUACCAGGUACCAAACUGGCUUUGUUGUUAAAAUUACUCUUGUAUCUGUGGUUUUCUAAAAUACUCAGUUCAAUUUAUUUCACUUUAUUUAUUCACAACCAAUGUUAUCUCAUGUUUACUGUUAAACAAAGCACACGCUUCAGCACACAGAUAUUGUUGGUGGUCUUAUGAAAUAUAUCCUCCUGGUCCUGGGUCAAUUUUCUAAUGUGAAAAAAUGUUAUCAGUAAUGAUAAUGAAUGAUACAUUUAUUACUGACAACUCAUUCAGUAAUGAAUGUCAGAAAAGCACCCUCCAUCUCCUGAACUUUGUUCAGGAUGUUUUAUGACUCUGGUUGCCAGGGCCAUCCUGUAUGCUGUGGUGUGCUGGGGCAGCAGGCUGAAGGUGGAGAACACCAACAGACUGAAGAAACUGAUCUGGAUGGCCAGUAACGUCGUUGGAGUGGAGCUGGACUCUGACAGUGAUGUCAGAAAUGAAGCCUAGGCGCAAAUUCAAACUGGAAGAUUCUUUAGCCCCACCUGCAUCAUCCAAUCGGCGCGUCCCGCUCAUCGCCGCCGACCUAUCAACCCUGGACUAAGCCACGUCACAUCCAAUCACCGACCAAGGCCCAGUUGAUAAGGACCUCCAUCCAUGGCAUCUUCCGCUUUCCAGCUGCGCUCAACCCUCCUCCACCCCUUCUCCACCUCCACUCUUCAGGCUCGCAUCCUUCACCGACCUCCACCACCAGUGUCGGGUCCCGGGGGAUGACAUUCCUAACCUUCAUCGGGAAUGCUCAUCCGAGCUUAUCGCAAUUCACAGCUCAAUGUCCUCAGCUGGGGCCGGAGCACCAAAGAACUUUAAAUUCAUGCAUGUCAAUAAACCUUUUUAAUCGC